rnacentral:rRNA from 1 species
UACCAGCACCCCGAGUGGUCGGGACGUUUAUUGGGCCUAAAGCAUCCGUAGCCGGUUCUACAAGUCUUCCGUUAAAUCCACCUGCUCAACAGAUGGGCUGCGGAAGAUACUAUGGAGCUAGGAGGCGGGAGAGGCAAGCGGUACUCGAUGGGUAGGGGUAAAAUCCGUUGAUCCAUUGAAGACCACCAGUGGCGAAGGCGGCCUUCUGGACCAGUACUGACGCUCAUGCACGAAAGCGUGGGGAGCAAACAGG